rnacentral:rRNA from 1 species
GACAGAGGGUGCAAACGUUUGUUCGGAAUUACUGGGCGUAAAGCGUGUGUAGGCGGUCCUCUAAGUCGGGUGUGAAAGCCCUGGGCUCAACCCAGGAAGUGCACUCGAAACUGGCGAGCUAGAGUACGAAAGAGGAUCGCGGAAUUCCCGGUGUAGAGGUGAAAUUCGUAGAUAUGGGGAGGAACACCGGUGGCGAAGGCGGCCACCUGGACGGUAACUGACGCUGAGACGCGAAAGCGUGGGGAGCAAACAGG